rnacentral:rRNA from 1 species
AACGAACGCUGGCGGCAGGCCUAACACAUGCAAGUCGAACGCCGUAGCAAUACGGAGUGGCAGACGGGUGAGUAACACGUGGGAACGUACCCUUCGGUUCGGAAUAACUCAGGGAAACUUGAGCUAAUACCGGAUACGUCCGAGAGGAGAAAGAUUUAUCGCCGAGGGAUCGGCCCGCGUCUGAUUAGCUUGUUGGUGAGGUAACGGCUCACCAAGGCGACGAUCAGUAGCUGGCUGAGAGGAUGAUCAGCCACAUUGGGACUGAGACACGGCCCAAACUCCUACGGGAGGCAGCAGUGGGGAAUAUUGGACAAUGGGCGCAAGCCUGAUCCAGCCAUGCCGCGUGAGUGAUGAAGGCCC